rnacentral:rRNA from 1 species
UACGUAGGGGGCAAGCGUUGUCCGGAAUCAUUGGGCGUAAAGAGCGUGUAGGCGGCCAGCUAAGUCCGCUGUGAAAUCUCGAGGCUCAACUUCGAGCUGUCGGUGGAAACUGUCUGGCUAGAGUCCGGAAGAGGAGAAUGGAAUUCCUGGUGUAGCGGUGAAAUGCGCAGAUAUCAGGAGGAACACCGGUGGCGAAGGCGGGUCUCUGGGCCGUAACUGACGCUGAGGAGCGAAAGCGUGGGGAGCGAACAGG